rnacentral:rRNA from 1 species
CCCUUAGAUGUCCUGGGCUGCACGCGCGCUACACUGAUGUGUCCAGUAAGCACCUAACCUAUUCCGAGAGGAGCGGGUAACCUUAGCAAAGCACAUCGUGAUGGGGAUAGAUUAUUGCAAUUAUUAGUCUUGAACGAGGAAUUCCUAGUAAGCACAAGUCAUCAGCUUGUGUUGAUUACGUCCCUGCCCUUUGUACACACCGCCCGUCGCUACUACCGAUUGAAUGGUUUAGUGAGAUCCUUGGAUCGGCCCUGUCGCGGCUGGCAACGGCCGCGUCGGCGCGUCGAGAAGACGAUCAAACUUGAUCAUUUAGAGGAAGUAAAAGUCGUAACA